ACCCAUGUUUCUCUACUUAUUAAAUUAAAAAUAAAAGUUUAAAUAUAAUAGGUAUUAUUUUAAAUUAUGUAGUGAAUUCAUUAAAUAUAUUUAAGGCUCAUGAUUAUCGACAUACUCCAAAUGUUAUGAUAACAUACCUGAUUUUAACAUUGGCUGAGAUUUUUCAACUAUUCAACAAAUUUUUGCAAUGUCAGACAUUAAUUGAUCACAGUAUCUUGUUUAGACAGUCUAUAUAUGAUGCAAAUUGGUAUAACGCAUCAUCCAAAAUAAAAACAGUUUUUUACUUUAUGUUAAUUAGGUCUGAAAGGAUGUGUAAAGUAACAGGAGGAAAAUUUUUUGAUAUGUCCUUUAACACUUUCACAAAAAUUUUAAUUAAAGCUGCUUCAUAUUUCACAGUUAUAUCAUCUAUAAAAUAAUUAUAAAAAAUUAUCAAAAUUUAAUAGAAUUUAAAUAAUUUAUUAAUAAAAAUGAUGCCUAGUUAAUGUUAAAAUAUUGUUUAAGUUAAUUGUAAGAAUAAUAGCUAGUCCACAAUCUACUGCUCUUAAAAGUUAAUUUUGUACUGAAGAUAUUUAUUACUUUUAAGACUAGUUUUUCCAUUUAUCCAAUUGAGUAGAGGAAUUGGUACUUUUAAAAUUAGACUAUAAAUAAAAUUAUUAAACGUUGUGAAAGUUGAUUAAUUAUAGCAAAUUAAUCGAGAAAUUAAUACAUAUAUUUACAACUGAUAUUACGUGCGUCCGGUUCAAUCCUCUUUUCCCCUAAUGAACUAAAAAUUGUUUUGAAUAGAAGUGUAUAAAUACAUGCCAUAUGUGUGUAUGCACAUAAAACCAUGAAAAAAACAAAACUAUUUUUUCCAAUAAAUUAAGAGAAUCAUAAUUUACAUGAAAUUAUCUCCAUUUAAAACAACGUCUUAUGAUGUAUGUAUAA